rnacentral:rRNA from 1 species
GUACCUCUGGUGUACCAGUUGUCCUGCCAAGGGCAUGGCUGGGUAGCUAUGUACGGAAUGGAUAAGCGCUGAAAGCAUCUAAGCGCGAAGCCAACUUCAAGAUAAGAUUUCCCACCGCAAGGGUAAGACCCCAGAAAGACUAUCUGGUUGAUAGGUCGAAGGUGUAAGUGCAGCAAUGUAUUUAGCUUAUCGAUACUAAUAGGUCGAGGACUUGACCAA